UACGGGGGGGGUAAGCGUUGUUCGGAAUUACUGGGCGUAAAGGGCUCGUAGGCGGCCAACUAAGUCAUACGUGAAAUCCCUCGGCUUAACUGGGGAACUGCGUGUGAUACUGGAUGGCUUGGAUUUGGGAGAGGGAUGCGGAAUUCCAGGUGUAGCGGUGAAAUGCGUAGAUAUCUGGAGGAACACCGGUGGCGAAGGCGGCAUCCUGGACCAAUAUUGACGCUGAGGAGCGAAAGCCAGGGGAGCGAACGGG
rnacentral:rRNA from 1 species